rnacentral:rRNA from 1 species
GCUAAUACCGCAUAAGACCACGACCUCCCUGGAGGUUGCGAUCAAAGGUAGCCUCAUCACACAGAGCGUUUGGGAGCAUCCUUUCAGCUGAGAGGGCGCUCCCCAGCGCUUUGUCAGUGAAGCUGCCGCUCGAAGAGGGGCCCGCGGCCCAUCAGCUAGUUGGUAGGGUAAUGGCCUACCAAGGCGACGACGGGUAGCUGGUCUAAGAGGACGACCAGCCACACGGGAAUUGAGAUACGGUCCCGACUCCUACGGGAGGCAGCAGUCGGGAAUUUUGCUCAAUGGGCGCAAGCCUGAAGCAGCAACGCCGCGUGCGGGAUGAAGGCCUUCGGGUUGUAAACCGCUUUCGGCCGGAACGAAAUCGCCGGGGAGAACAUCUCCGGUGGAUGACGGUACCGGAAGAAGAAGCACCGGCUAACUACGUGCCAGCAGCCGCGGUAA